GACGAACGCUGGCGGCGUGCUUAACACAUGCAAGUCGAACGGAAAGGCCCUGCUUUUGUGGGGGGCUCGAGUGGCGAACGGGUGAGUAACACGUGAGUAACCUGCCCUUGACUUUGGGAUAACUUCAGGAAACUGGGGCUAAUACCGGAUAGGAGCUCCUGCUGCAUGGUGGGGGUUGGAAAGUUUCGGCGGUUGGGGAUGGACUCGCGGCUUAUCAGCUUGUUGGUGGGGUAGUGGCUUACCAAGGCUUUGACGGGUAGCCGGCCUGAGAGGGUGACCGGCCACAUUGGGACUGAGAUACGGCCCAUACUCCUACGGGAGGCAGCAGUGGGGAAUAUUGCACAAUGGGCGGAAGCCUUAUGCAGCAACGCCGCGUGCGGGAUGACGGCCUUCGGGUUGUAAACCUCUUUCGCCUGUGACGAAGCGUGAGUGACGGUAAUGGGUAAAGAAGCACCGGCUAACUACGUG
rnacentral:rRNA from 1 species